GAAACACGGACCAAGGAGUCUAGCAUGUGCGCGAGUCAUUGGGACUCUGUUAAACCUAAAGGCGCAAUGAAAGUAAAGGUCCGCCUCGCGCGGACCGAGGGAGGAUGGGUCCGUCCCCGGACGGGCCCCGCACUCCCGGGGCGUCUCGUCCUCAUCGCGAGGAGAGGCGCACCCAGAGCGUACACGCUGGGACCCGAAAGAUGGUGAACUAUGCCUGGUCAGGACGAAGUCAGGGGAAACCCUGAUGGAGGUCCGUAGCGAUUCUGACGUGCAAAUCGAUCGUCGGAACUGGGUAUAGGGGCGAAAGACUAAUCGAACCUUCUAGUAGCUGG
rnacentral:rRNA from 2 species